rnacentral:rRNA from 1 species
GACGAACGCUGGCGGCGUGCUUAACACAUGCAAGUCGAACGGUAAGGCCCUUCGGGGUACACGAGUGGCGAACGGGUGAGUAACACGUGGGUGAUCUGCCCUGCACUUCGGGAUAAGCCUGGGAAACUGGGUCUAAUACCGGAUAGGACUCCGGACUGCAUGGUCUGGGGUGGAAAGCUUUUGCGGUGUGGGAUGGGCCCGCGGCCUAUCAGCUGGUUGGUGGGGUGAUGGCCGACCAAGGCGAAGACGGGUAGCCGGCCUGUGAGGGUGACCGGGCACACUGGGACUGGGAUGCGGGCCAGACGCCUACGGGAGGCAGCAGUGGGGAAUAUUGGACGAUGGGCGCAAGCCUGAUGCAGCGACGCCGCGUGAGGGAUGACGGCCUUCGGGUUGUAAACCUCUUUCAGCAUCGACGAAGCGAAAGUGACGGUAGGUGCAGAAGAAGGACCGGCCAACUACGUGCCAGCCGCCGCGGUAA